rnacentral:lncRNA from 1 species
UAUUAGAUUCAUAAACCCUGGAGGUUUUAAUGAUUGAAUCCUGACUUUCGUACUGUAUCUGACUUCAGGGUCUUCGGAAGAGCUCAGCAGGUCAGCGGGCUGUCUGCAGCGUCAGGGAAAGAGCAGAAUGAAGAGCAGGCCAAGUCCAAAGGUCAGAGGUCAAGGGUUUAUAUGAAAAAGCAAGGAGGUGACAUGAAAGUCCAUUUUUGGUCAUACUAGCUAGGGAUUGAUCGAUCCGCCACUUUGAUCCAGACUAUUUGGGGCAUUCACGCCCUUCUUAGGAUGAAUUGGACUUUAGGGUCAAGUGUACUCAGAUCCGGGCUUGGGUCCCUAAUGUGAAAGCCUUCAUAGUCUUGUUUAGACUUACUUUUCACCCUUUUUCACCCUUUGAAUUAAUGAAAAUGGUUAAAGAGUUAAACUGACUUUUAUUCUCUGCCAUUACACUUUUCUUUUCUUCAUAGAAGAACUGCAGCAAAAUAAUACACCUGCGACAAAGUUCAAGGGUUCUCCACCUUCUUUGGACAAAGAAUCAGUGGCAGACUGCGCCUUUGAUGAAUACAUGGCGAUCAUGGAUUUCAUCUCUCCCAAGAUCCCAGAGGAGGAGACAACCAGAGAGAAUGAAAGUGAGGAAGACGAGGAUGACUGGAGACUGGAGAUAGAAAACGGCUCAUUUCUGGACUAUCUGGAUGAAUUGUGCAGUGAUGAAGAAUUUGUCGGAAAGGUGGAUUCGACACUGAAUACACACUACUUGGAUGCCUUCCUUUCUGCAGACCUAGAUCCCAAUGACCUUACUGCACUAGAAAAAGAGGUGCAGUACCUGGAUUCCCUCCUUCGUCUGGAUCAAGAGGCCGUUGACCAUCUUCCAUAUAGGGAACUUCAGCAAGAGGUAAAAUUAUUAAAAAUCUUUCAUUAUUUAUAUUUUGUGGCUGUGAUUUGUUGCUUUAUUGUGAUGGAUUAGGAUUAGGGGAG